AUAUUUUUUUGUUUUUGCCUUCAUCGCUCUAUUUCUCUUCCCGAUGUUCCCGUCGUCUCUCCAAGUUGCGUGAAUUGUCAUUGAAGAUCAAAGCAUUGACGAUUGAAGAAGGGUUAUUUAAUAUUGAAGGAUCAAUGACUACCAUCAACAAGUUCGAUACAACUUCCAAUCUGUGCGUGACCAGGUCUAAGCUGCUGCCUGGAAAUUUUUGGUUAGCCAACCAUUGUGCCUCCCGGGGAGGUUCCUUUUUGAGAUGUCUAGUUUUAUAACCUUGCUACAGAUGUUUUUGCUUUGUUUUGCUUAUCUGCACAUUGGGCUAUGUUCCUUUUUGGUAUUAUCUGUGUAUUUGGGUGACGUAAAACUCAUGUAUUUAUGACGUCGCAUGUAUGUAUAAGUUUGUUUUGAUGAUUUCUGUCUCAUAUACGUUAACACAACUCUAUGGACAUUGCGUAUUUUCUAUA